CCUACGGGUGGCUGCAGUGAGGAAUAUUGGUCAAUGGACGCAAGUCUGAACCAGCCAUGCCGCGUGCAGGAAGACGGCUCUAUGAGUUGUAAACUGCUUUUGUACGAGGGUAAACGCAGAUACGCGUAUCUGUCUGAACGUCUCGUACGAAUGAGGAACGGCUAACGCCGUUCCAGCAGCCGCGGGAAUACGGAGGAUUCAAGCGUGGUCCGGAUUGCGUGGGUUUAAAGGGUGCGUAGGUGGUCGGAUAAGUUAGAGGUGAAUUCCCGAGGCUCAACUUCGGAAUUGCUUCUGUGACUGUUCGGCUAGAGAGUAGGUGCGGUAGGCGGAAUUGAUGGUGUAGCGGUGAAAUGCUUAGAGAUUAUACAGAACACCGAUUGCGAAGGCAGCUUACCAAGCUACUUCUGACGUUGAGGCACGAAAGCGUGGGGAGCAAACAGGAUUAGAUACCCGAGUAGUC
rnacentral:rRNA from 1 species